AAGAAAACCACAUCCUUCACAACAAGUCUGCAGUACUGAAAAUCAUGAUGCCCUUAAUGAAACUUGGAUCCACUUGAUCUUGAUCUUCACCUUCUUAGCAGAGCAGAAGUCAUCUCUUUCAAAUCAUUUAACAGAGUUCUCAUACAAAGACUCCAUACUCCUCUGGAGUAACUCUGUGAAACAAAUAGAAAACAUGUAUUCAGCUAAUAUAUAGAUAUUGCUUGCAAACUACAGUUUUCUCUAAUUGCUAAAACACUAAAAUGACAUGCACAAUUAUUUAAACUGACACAGAGAGCAAAACCUCUCUUCUCAAGUAACAAAUUCUAACAUGUUCUGCUUCACACACAUUUUGCCAUUCAAAAUGCCACUUUUUACUGUAAAUGCACUGAACACGGUUCACUGUAAGACACGACAAUCUGACCUAAAGGCACAUGUUUGCCGUUUCAAAACACUGACAUUCAAAAUGACACUACAUGAACUAAUUGGCUUAUAUUUGUGCAUAUGUUGCACUGACUUGUUUGGUGAAAAAAAAAAAAAAUGUUUAAACAGCAUGUGUGUAUCUGUAAAUAUUUCUGUGCAUGUGAACAAUCUGAAGAAUUUUCUACAAUUUGAACUAUUUUAGUAUUAUGGCAAAGCAUACUAAAGAUGAGAGUGCAUGCUUUUCAUUAUGCCCAACAGUACUGUAGUUGGUUAGACACAAAUCUGGUAAUAUGAAUGAAGUGUACCAUUUGGUGCAAAAGUUUGAUUUUGAUAAUGCUAUAGUUUUGCUUGCAGUGCUUCAUUUUGCAGGAUGUAUGAGGUAUUUUACAGUUUGGGUUUGUGAUUUUGUGAAUUGUGUUAAGUGUUUUGAUAAAACCAGAUUAGUUUGCAAAAUUGUGUUUUAGCUGUUUUAGCUCACAAUUCUUCAAUUAGCAAUCACUCAUUAUCCAUAAGAGAUACCAUGUAUGUUCUGUGUUGCUAUUUGCAAGUGUGGAUUUAAGGCACAUUUAAAAUAAGUACUGUAUUGCCUAUUUGGU